UUGGAUUUUCUUCACUUUAGCAGUGACACACUCAGCCACAAAGAGGUUGUCUCUGAUGUCCACACAUAAACCUAAUGGAAACUCUAAAUCACAGUGAAUGUAACGGAGGAACUGUCCGUCCUGAUCUAGGAUGUGGAUACGGUGUUUGUGAAUGUCUGCUGUCAGGAUGUGACUCUGGCUGUCUGUAGUGAUGCCGAGUGGAUUAAAUGAUUGCUUGGUAUUAGAGGGAUGACCAGUGUAUCUAAAUCGGAGUUUUCCUGACUGAUUGACCACCACUACUGCACUAGCGUCACGGUCAGCCACACAGAUAUCCAGGUUCCUGUUCUCACUGAGGUAUUUACUGUAAUCACCAGAUGAGUAGAGAGGACGACCCUGAUCAUCAAACUGAAUGCUCUGUUUCUCUGUGGAGCCGGAGUAACGCACGACUUUGGAUUGUUUGUUAUCAUCACUGUCCAUGGUAACCAGGAGAUCACCAGAGGCGGUACAGCAGACAUAGAGAGGUCUCCACCCCUGUAGUGUGAUCACGAUUGAGUUGUGUGGAACAAUGGACCUCCGGAUAUCUAUGUACAUUUAAACGUGUAUGAUUAAACUUCUGUUGUACUCGCGUAUGUGAGUUUAUCCUGUA